rnacentral:snRNA from 1 species
GGUUGUGAGUACGAUCUGGAUGAGUCAUCUUUCACCCCAUUAAUCAUGAGGGUUUAUUUGACUGAACUGGCUAGCUAGGUGUCCCCUUCCUCCUUCACCACUCUGUGUAUAUCCUUCCCCAAAUCAAAUAGAGACUGAUAGUUCUUCAGUCAAGGGCUUAUGAGUAGCUGUGCUACCCUGCUAGAACCUACAAACAAACUUUCAAAGGGACAGAUGCAUUCCUGUGUUCAUAGCUGUAUUAUUCACAACAGACAAAAUACAGAAGCAACCUAAAUGUCCAUCAAGAUAUGACUGAAUAAGGAAGUUAUG